rnacentral:rRNA from 1 species
GAUGAACGCUGGCGGCGUGCCUAAUACAUGCAAGUCGAGCGAACAGACGAGGAGCUUGCUCCUUUGACGUUAGCGGCGGACGGGUGAGUAACACGUGGAUAACCUACCUAUAAGACUGGGAUAACUUCGGGAAACCGGAGCUAAUACCGGAUAACAUGUUGAACCGCAUGGUUCAACAGUGAAAGACGGUUUUGCUGUCACUUAUAGAUGGAUCCGCGCCGCAUUAGCUAGUUGGUAAGGUAACGGCUUACCAAGGCAACGAUGCGUAGCCGACCUGAGAGGGUGAUCGGCCACACUGGAACUGAGACACGGUCCAGACUCCUACGGGAGGCAGCAGUAGGGAAUCUUCCGCAAUGGGCGAAAGCCUGACGAAGCAACGCCGCGUGAGUGAAGAAGGUCUUCGGAUCGUAAAACUCUGUUAUUAGGGAAGAACAAAUGUGUAAGUAACUAUGCACGUCUUGACGGUACCUAAUCAGAAAGCCACGGCUAACUACGUG